AGUGAACGCUGGCGGUAGGCCUAACACAUGCAAGUCGAACGGCAGCACAGUAAGAGCUUGCUCUUACGGGUGGCGAGUGGCGGACGGGUGAGGAAUACAUCGGAAUCUACUUUUUCGUGGGGGAUAACGUAGGGAAACUUACGCUAAUACCGCAUACGACCUACGGGUGAAAGCAGGGGAUCUUCGGACCUUGCGCGAUUGAAUGAGCCGAUGUCGGAUUAGCUAGUUGGCGGGGUAAAGGCCCACCAAGGCGACGAUCCGUAGCUGGUCUGAGAGGAUGAUCAGCCACACUGGAACUGGAACACGGUCCAGACUCCUACGGGAGGCAGCAGUGGGGAAUAUUGGACAAUGGGGGCAAGCCUGAUCCAGCCCUACCGCGUGGGUGAAGAAGGCCUUCGGGUUGUAAAGCCCUUUUGUUGGGAAAGAAAAGCAGCAGGUUAAUACCCCGCUGUUCUGACGGUACCCAAAGAAUAAGCACCGGCUAACUUCGUG
rnacentral:rRNA from 1 species